UACGGAGGAUGCAAGCGUUAUCCGGAUUCAUUGGGUUUAAAGGGUGCGCAGGUUGUUUGAUAAGUCAGUGGUGAAAGUCUGUCGCUUAACGGUAGGAUUGCCAUUGAUACUGUUAGACUUGAAUAUGGAUGAGGUAGGCGGAAUGUGUAGUGUAGCGGUGAAAUGCAUAGAUAUUACACAGAACACCGAUUGCGAAGGCAGCUUACUAAUCCAUCAUUGACGCUGAGGCACGAAAGCGUGGGGAUCAAA
rnacentral:rRNA from 1 species